rnacentral:lncRNA from 1 species
UCACUUUAUAUCACAACUGGGCCAUUGUCCCAGUGGGUGAGGGGGUUAAUCCCCCUAUGACCCCAAGGUCAGGGGUUCGGCCCCCAGUGUGUGCACCCUGACUAUUUACUUUCCAUACUUGUUCCAUUUUAUUUAUUUAUUUUCCCAUUUUAUUUUCCUUUUGAUUUAUUUUUUAACCCUCUUAUUUUUAUUAUUUUGAAAACAUGUUGAACACACACCCCCCUUAUUUUUGCCUCUAGAAUUUAAU